rnacentral:rRNA from 1 species
UUUUCAUGAAGCCUAGCGAUUGAAAAGUUAGUGGCGGACGGGUGAGUAACGCGUGGGUAACCUGCCUUGUACUGGGGGACAACAGUUGGAAACGACUGCUAAUACCGCAUAAGCGCACAGCUUCGCAUGAAGCAGUGUGAAAAACUCCGGUGGUACAAGAUGGACCCGCGUCUGAUUAGCUGGUUGGUGAGGUAACGGCCCACCAAGGCGACGAUCAGUAGCCGGCCUGAGAGGGUGAACGGCCACAUUGGGACUGAGACACGGCCCAAACUCCUACGGGAGGCAGCAGUGGGGAAUAUUGCACAAUGGGGGAAACCCUGAUGCAGCAACGCCGCGUGAGUGAAGAAGUAUUUCGGUAUGUAAAGCUCUAUCAGCAGGAAAGAAAAUGACGGUACCUGACUAAGAAGCCCCGGCUAACUACGUGCCAGCAGCCGCGGUAAUACGUAGGGGGCAAGCGUUAUCCGGAUUUACUGGGUGUAAAGGGAGCGUAGACGGUUUUGCAAGUCUGAAGUGAAAGCCCGGGGCUUAACCCCGGGACUGCUUUGGAAACUGUAGGACUAGAGUGCAGGAGAGGUAAGUGGAAUUCCUAGUGUAGCGGUGAAAUGCGUAGAUAUUAGGAGGAACACCAGUGGCGAAGGCGGCUUACUGGACUGUAACUGACGUUGAGGCUCGAAAGCGUGGGGAGCAAACAGGAUUA